rnacentral:snRNA from 1 species
AUUGCUUCUCGGCCUUUUGGCUAAGAUCAAGUGUAGUAGUGAGAUGGGGAAAAUAAAGAUUUUGAAAAGAAAGAUAAUCAUUUAAAAAAAAUCUGAAUAGGGUGGUGCCUGUGGCUCAAAGGAGUAAGGCACCGGCCCCAUAUGCAGG